rnacentral:rRNA from 1 species
GACGAACGCUGGCGGCGUGCCUAAUACAUGCAAGUCGAACGCAGUGGGGACGGGUGAGUAACACGUGGGUAACCUCCCAUACGAGGGGAUAACACUUGGACACAGGUGCUAAACCGAUACUGAUGGAUGGACCCGCGGUGCAUUAGCUAGUUGGUGAGGUAACGGCUCACCAAGGCCACGAUGCAUAGCCGAACUGGGAGGGGGAUCGGCCAAACUGGGAAUGAGAAACGGCCCAGACUCCUACGGGAGGGAGCAGGAGGGAAUCUUCGGGAAGUGACGGAAGGCUGACCGAGCAACGGCGCGUGAGGGAAGAAGGUUUUCGGAUCGUAAAGCUCUUUUGUUAAGGAAGCGGUACUUAACCAGAAAGGGACGGCUAACUACGUGCCAGCAGCCGCGGUAAUUC